AUUGAACGCUGGCGGCAUGCUUUACACAUGCAAGUCGAACGGUAGCAGGCCGCCAGGUGCUGACGAGUGGCGCACGGGUGCGUAAUGCAUCGGAACGUGCCCAGUCGUGGGGGAUAACUACUCGAAAGAGUAGCUAAUACCCCAUACGAUCUAUGACUGACAGCGGGGGACCGCAAGGCCUCGCGCGACUUGAGCCGCCGAUGUCAGAUUAGGUAGUUGGUGGGGUAAAGGCUCACCAAGCCAACGAUCUGUAGCUGGUCUGAGAGGACGACCAGCCACACUGGGACUGAGACACGGCCCAGACUCCUACGGGAGGCAGCAGUGGGGAAUUUUGGACAAUGGGCGCAAGCCUGAUCCAGCAAUGCCGCGUGCAGGAAGAAGGCCUUCGGGUUGUAAACUGCUUUUGUACGGAACGAAACGGCUCUGGUUAAUACCCGGGGGUAAUGACGGUACCGAAAGAAUAAGCACCGGCUAACUACGUG
rnacentral:rRNA from 1 species